CUAUUAAAGGGUCUAGACUGAGCAAAACGAAAUACCUUCGUGCUAAAUUUUCUGAACAUCAGGAGUCCAGGUAUAGCCAGUUGCUUAUCUAGCAAACUCCAUCCAUCUUCUGAACAGAACAGUGUUGUGUUCAAGGUCUCGCGAGGCUGCAAUCAAGGUGUCAGCUGAGCUGUGUUUUCAGCUGGAUGUUUGAGUGGGGAAGAGUCCACCUCCAAGCUCACUCAGGUUGUUCACAGACUGUAUUUCCUUGUGGCUGUAUAACUAAGAACUCUGGCAUUUUGCUGGCUGUUGGCUGAGGCUACCCUUCGGUUCUAGAGGCUGCCUUGUAAACUUCUUCAACACAGCUGCUCACUUCAUCAAGCCUGCGACAAGAACCUCUCCAGUGCAUGCCAGCAAGAUGGGGCCAUACACAGACAUAAAAUUACGGGAGUGACAUCCCAUCACCUUUGCAUUUUCUAUUGCUAAGAGGCAAGUCUCAGGUUCCACCUGCACUCAGAUGGAGGGAAUUACACAAAGGCAUGGACAUCAGGAAGCAGGAAUCACUGUGGGUCACUCUAGGAUUUGUUAUCCACAAGGGAUCACAUUAUCUGCUUAGAAUUUCAAACGAAUAAUAAAACCAAAAAAAGUUGGUCUGCCUUUUAAAAAUUUUCCCUUAUUUAAAACUUUAUUCUUAAUAAAGAAAAAUGAGAAAACCCCAAAACUUUCUUCUUUAAUUGGCAACCUUCAAAAAAGAUAUUCACAACAGGACUCAGAGCAAGGGCAGAGAUCCCCAAAGAGAUGGUUUUUCCUUAAUUCAUCAGGCUGGAGCAGAGUUUAAACCAAGCUGGAACCACUCCGGCUCUGGCCACAACCUAAUCUCUACAUCCUGGCCUCCAUCACAUUGGCCGGAAGCUGGUUCGCUUCAUCCA
rnacentral:lncRNA from 1 species